UACCAAGUCCAUAUUUGCAGGCUACUGUACUGGAGUGUAUUAUUUAUUUUUAAUCAAUAUAAUUGCAUAUGGUAUCAUACAUAAGAUGGUGAACCACUUGCCGAUUGUUGGGUCCGAUAAUAAGUUUGUAUUUCUUACUAUUUUGAUGUAUAUGUUUUCAAAUUCUGCUUAAAGUAGUAGUAGCCACUAGCUAUUGAUAUCCAGAUUUUUUAGGAAUUUUUCUGAGUAUCUGUUUUGCAGGUUCAUUGUGUUUGAGUCUCUUUUAUCUCUGCUGUUACAUACUUAGUUUAAGGCACUCAAACAUCAUAAGUUCAUAACACUUCAUGGGUACCGUGUAGAACAGGGACAAGACAUGUUUAUGUAUGAUUAUGUAAGAAAUCUCUCUCUGGACCAUGCUUUGCAUUCUGAAGUAAACAUGCUUUUAUCUUGGGGCAUGCGUCUCAAAAUUUGUAAUAGCCGAAGAUAUAAAGUAAUCAUCUCAUCUUUACUUGAAUCAUUAAUUAAUAUGUGUUUAUCAUUA